GCUGGUGUAGCUCAACUGGUAGAGCAACUGACUUGUAAUCAGUAGGUUAAGGGUUCAAGUCCCUUCACUAGCU
rnacentral:tRNA from 6 species